AAAAUGCUUACUGUUCUCCUCCCGCUACUGGAUGCAUAGCAGGGUUUUUCUCUGGUCCUGAGCAUGAGAACCUAAAACUCAAGAAAGCAUUCCCUCACCCCCUGCCAAUCCCCACUCAUCCCCCCAACCCCCACCGUCAAGACUGACUUCCUCAGACGUCUUAACUGUCAAGUGAAUCUACACUGAGCUUCCAGCAUUUCAUCAAUUACAGUUUAAAGUAUUUCUACCAAUAUUGGCUCCAGCUGCUAGUUUUGCUCUGGACUUUUCUGCUCCUGACGGAGCCUCGCCCUUCACUCUGUCGCCCAGGCUGGAGUGCAAUGGUGUGAUCUCGGCUCACUGCAACCUCUGCCUCCCGGGUUCAAGCGAUUGUCCUGCCUCAGCUUCCUGAGUAGCUGGGACUACAGGUGUGUGCCACCAAGCACGGCUAAUUUUUGUAUUUUUAGUAGAGAUGGGGUUUCACCGUGUUAGCCAGGAUGGUCUCAAUCUCCUGACCUCGUGAUCCUCCUGCCUCAGCCUCCCAAAGUGUUGAGAUUACAGGUGUGAGCCACCGCACCCAGUCCUCUCUCUCUCAAUCUUUUUUUGUUUUUAAAGUAAUGAGGAGAUUUAACUUUUACGUAUAACAGGAGGAACUUUAGAAGUGAGAAAGUCAAGAAUUAUGUAGUGACUCAGUGAUGUCAUGGCACUUUACUUGUGUCUCUGCCAAGUUCUCAUGGUUGCAAGAAGGUUGCCAGUGCUCCUAGUCAAGGAGAGAUCCCAAAGAAGGAAACGGGAAGUGGGUGAAGCAAUACCUUUAUAUUAAUUAUUUUCCUUCACACUUAAACACAGAUCCAAGUGGUUUAAUAGCAAUGAAUAUCCAGUUGAAGCUACAGAUUUAUCAUUUUCGGCACAAUUAAUGUGUGUGUUGUCUUAACUGUAAUUUUAUGAGACCUAUACACAUUGACAGUAUCAUCAAUUUUUUUUCUGUUUGGACUCAUGUAAAUGUAAUAAAAGAAAAUUGCUGAAAAAUAUUUAAAUAAAUGUAGCAACAAAGGUAUAUAUCUGAAGCUAGUGGCAUUGAC
rnacentral:lncRNA from 10 species